rnacentral:rRNA from 1 species
UACAGAGGUCCCAAGCGUUAUUCGGAUUCACUGGGCGUAAAGGGUGCGUAGGUGGUCAGGUAAGUCCGGUGUGAAAUCUCCAGGCUCAACCUGGAAAUGGCAUUGGAUACUAUCUGGCUUGAGGAGUGGAGGGGGGACUGGAAUUCUCGGUGUAGCAGUGAAAUGCGUAGAUAUCGAGAGGAACACCAGUGGCGAAGGCGAGUCCCUGGACACUUCCUGACACUGAGGCACGAAAGCUAGGGGAGCAAACAGG